AUUGAACGCUGGCGGAAUGCUUUACACAUGCAAGUCGAACGAUGAACCUUAGCUUGCUAAGGGGAUUAGUGGCGAACGGGUGAGUAAUAUAUCGGAACGUGCCUUGUAAUGGGGGAUAACUAGUCGAAAGAUUAGCUAAUACCGCAUACGCCCUGAGGGGGAAAGUAGGGGAUCUUCGGACCUUACGUUAUAAGAGCGGCCGAUAUCUGAUUAGCUAGUUGGUGGGGUAAUGGCCUACCAAGGCGACGAUCAGUAGCUGGUCUGAGAGGACGACCAGCCACACUAGAACUGAGACACGGUCCAGACUCCUACGGGAGGCAGCAGUGGGGAAUUUUGGACAAUGGGCGCAAGCCUGAUCCAGCCAUUCCGCGUGAGUGAAGAAGGCCUUCGGGUUGUAAAGCUCUUUCGCAAGGGAAGAAAACUUACCAUCGAAUAAAUGGUGAGGCUGACGGUACCUUGAUAAGAAGCACCGGCUAACUACGUG
rnacentral:rRNA from 1 species